rnacentral:rRNA from 1 species
UACGAAGGUGGCAAGCGUUGUUCGGAAUUACUGGGCGUAAAGGGCGCGUAGGCGGCCUUCUUAGUCGAACGUGAAAUCCCCGGGCUCAACCCGGGAACUGCGUCCGAUACUGGAAGGCUCGAAUCCGGGAGAGGGAUGUGGAAUUCCAGGUGUAGCGGUGAAAUGCGUAGAUAUCUGGAGGAAUACCGGUGGCGAAGGCGGCAUCCUGGACCGGCAUUGACGCUGAGGAGCGAAAGCCAGGGGAGCAAAGCGGG